AGGUAAGCUACUAAGAGCGAAUGGUGGAUGCCUUGACUGGUAAAGGCGAUGAAGGACGUACUAGACUGCGAUAAGCUACGGGGAGCUGUCAAGAAGCUUUGAUCCGUAGAUUUCCGAAUGGGGCAACCCAAUGUAUAGAGAUAUACAUUACCUAUAUAGGAGCGAACGAGGGGAAUUGAAACAUCUUAGUACCCUCAGGAAAAGAAAUCAAUAGAGAUUGCGUCAGUAGCGGCGAGCGAAAGCGCAAGAGGGCAAACCCAGUGCUUGCACUGGGGGUUGUAGGACUGCAAUGUGCAAGAGGUAAGUUUAGCAGAACAUUCUGGAAAGUAUAACCAUAGAGGGUGAUAGUCCCGUAUGCGAAAAACAAACCUUAGCUAGCAGUAUCCUGAGUAGGGCGGGACACGAGGAAUCCUGUCUGAAUCUGGGUCGACCACGAUCCAACCCUAAAUACUAAUACCAGAUCGAUAGUGCACAAGUACCGUGAGGGAAAGGUGAAAAGAACUGAGGUGAUCAGAGUGAAAUAGAACCUGAAACCAUUUGCUUACAAUCAUUCAGAGCCCUAUGUAGCAAUACAGGGUGAUGGACUGCCUUUUGCAUAAUGAGCCUGCGAGUUGUGGUGUCUGGCAAGGUUAAGCAAACGCGAAGCCGUAGCGAAAGCGAGUCUGAAUAGGGCGCUUAGUCAGAUGCUGCAGACCCGAAACGAAGUGAUCUAUCCAUGAGCAAGUUGAAGCUAGUGUAAGAACUAGUGGAGGACUGAACCCAUAGGCGUUGAAAAGCCCCGGGAUGACUUGUGGAUAGGGGUGAAAGGCCAAUCAAACUUCGUGAUAGCUGGUUCUCUCCGAAAUAUAUUUAGGUAUAGCGUUGUGUCGUAAUAUAAGGGGGUAGAGCACUGAAUGGGCUAGGGCAUACACCAAUGUACCAAACCCUAUCAAACUCCGAAUACCUUAUAUGUAAUCACAGCAGUCAGGCGGCGAGUGAUAAAAUCCGUCGUCAAGAGGGAAACAACCCAGACUACCAGCUAAGGUCCCUAAAUCUUACUUAAGUGGAAAACGAUGUGAAGUUACUUAAACAACCAGGAGGUUGGCUUAGAAGCAGCCAUCCUUUAAAGAAAGCGUAAUAGCUCACUGGUCUAGUGAUUUUGCGCGGAAAAUAUAACGGGGCUAAAGUAAGUACCGAAGCUGUAGACUUAGUUUACUAAGUGGUAGGAGAGCGUUCUAUUUGCGUCGAAGGUAUACCGGUAAGGAGUGCUGGAGCGAAUAGAAGUGAGCAUGCAGGCAUGAGUAGCGAUAAUUAAUGUGAGAAUCAUUAACGCCGUAAACCCAAGGUUUCCUACGCGAUGCUCGUCAUCGUAGGGUUAGUCGGGUCCUAAGUCGAGUCCGAAAGGGGUAGACGAUGGCAAAUUGGUUAAUAUUCCAAUACCAACAUUAGUGUGCGAUGGAAGGACGCUUAGGGCUAAGGGGGCUAGCGGAUGGAAGUGCUAGUCUAAGGUCGUAGGAGGUUAUACAGGCAAAUCCGUAUAACAAUACUCCGAGAACUGAAAGGCUUUUUGAAGUCUUCGGAUGGAUAGAAGAACCCCUGAUGCCGUCGAGCCAAGAAAAGUUUCUAAGUUUAGCUAAUGUUGCCCGUACCGUAAACCGACACAGGUGGGUGGGAUGAGUAUUCUAAGGCGCGUGGAAGAACUCUCUUUAAGGAACUCUGCAAAAUAGCACCGUAUCUUCGGUAUAAGGUGUGGUUCGCUUCGUAUUAGGAUUUACUCCGAAAGCGAAGAAACUUACAACAAAGAGUCCCUCCCGACUGUUUACCAAAAACACAGCACUCUGCUAACUCGUAAGAGGAUGUAUAGGGUGUGACGCCUGCCCGGUGCUCGAAGGUUAAUUGAUGGGGUUAGCAUUAGCGAAGCUCUUGAUCGAAGCCCGAGUAAACGGCGGCCGUAACUAUAACGGUCCUAAGGUAGCGAAAUUCCUUGUCGGUUAAAUACCGACCUGCAUGAAUGGCGUAACGAGAUGGGAGCUGUCUCAAAGAGGGAUCCAGUGAAAUUGUAGUGGAGGUGAAAAUUCCUCCUACCCGCGGCAAGACGGAAAGACCCCGUGGACCUUUACUACAGCUUGACACUGCUACUUGGAUAAGAAUGUGCAGGAUAGGUGGGAGGCUUUGAGUAUAUGACGCCAGUUGUAUAUGAGCCAUUGUUGAGAUACCACUCUUUCUUAUUUGGGUAGCUAACCAGCUUGAGUUAUCCUCAAGUGGGACAAUGUCUGGUGGGUAGUUUGACUGGGGCGGUCGCCUCCCAAAUAAUA
rnacentral:rRNA from 1 species